GCAGGGACCAAAAAAGAAAAGAGCAACCUUUGCAUCAAUCUCAUCUCGUUGAUGUAGAAGUUUUGGUUACAUUGAAAGAUGAUUGCCCUGUUCAUAUGACAUGUUUGGAGGCCCACUGGGCCUUAAUUGCCCCUUUGAAGGGCACGUCUAAUCAAUCAAUCAAUCAAAAUCUUCCCCAAUCGCCAAAACAUUUGUGUGCUUUGGGUCAGUUUGAUCCUCCCCUUUUCCUCUUUCCCCUUGGGCGGUUGUGUGGUGGCCCGUCCAGAACCCCUUGAAAACGAAAGAUGAAUGCAAGUGAAAUGAAUGGAAAAUGGAAAUGGGUUAGCAUGGUAGUAGACCUUUUGGGGACCCAUGGUUCCAGCCCUGUUCAC
rnacentral:lncRNA from 1 species